GAUGAACGCUGGCGGCGUGCCUAAUACAUGCAAGUCGAGCGAACGGACGAGAAGCUUGCUUCUCUGAUGUUAGCGGCGGACGGGUGAGUAACACGUGGAUAACCUACCUAUAAGACUGGGAUAACUUCGGGAAACCGGAGCUAAUACCGGAUGAUAUUUUGAACCGCAUGGUUCAAAAGUGAAAGACGGUCUUGCUGUCACUUAUAGAUGGAUCCGCGUUGGCUUAUCGAGUUGGUAAGGUAAAGGCCUACCAAGGCGACGAACCGUAGCCGACCUGAGAGGGUGAUCCGCCACACUGGAACUGAGACACGGUCCAGACCCCUACGGGAGGCAGCAGUGGGGAAUAUUGGCCAAUGGGGGGAAGCCUUAUCCAGCCAUACCGGGUGGGUGAAGAAGGGCUUCGGGUUGUAAAACCCUUUUUUUGGGAAAGAAAAGCAGCAGGAUAAAACCCUGCUGUUCUGACGGUACCCAAAGAAUAAGCCCCGGCUAACUUCGUG
rnacentral:rRNA from 1 species